AGUGAACGCUGGCGGUAGGCCUAACACAUGCAAGUCGAACGGCAGCACAGUAAGAGCUUGCUCUUACGGGUGGCGAGUGGCGGACGGGUGAGGAAUACAUCGGAAUCUACUUUUUCGUGGGGGAUAACGUAGGGAAACUUACGCUAAUACCGCAUACGACCUACGGGUGAAAGCAGUGGAUCUUCGGACCUUUCGCGAUUGAAUGAGCCGAUGUCGGAUUAGCUAGUUGGCGGGGUAACGGCCCACCAAGGCAACGAUCCGUAGCUGACCUGAGAGGAUGAUCGGCCACACUGGAACUGAGACACGGUCCAGACUCCUACGGGAGGCAGCAGUGGGGAAUAUUGCACAAUGGGCGAAAGCCUGAUGCAGCAACGCCGCGUGAGUGAUGAAGGUCUUCGGGUCGUAAAACUCUGUUGUUAGGGAAGAACAAAUGUGUAAGUAACUAUGCACGUCUUGACGGUACCUAAACAGAAAGCCACGGCUAACUACGUG
rnacentral:rRNA from 1 species